CACGUAGGGCGCGAGCGUUGUCCGGAAUUAUUGGGCGUAAAGAGCUCGUAGGCGGCCUGUUGCGUCCGCUGUGAAAGCCCGGGGCUUAACCCCGGUCUGCAGUGGAUACGGGCAGGCUAGAGGUAGGUAGGGGAGAAUGGAAUUCCCGGUGUAGCGGUGAAAUGCGCAGAUAUCGGGAGGAACACCUGUGGCGAAAGCGGCUCACUGGACCACAACUGACGCUGAGGCGCGAAAGCUAGGGGAGCAAACAGG
rnacentral:rRNA from 1 species